GAUAGUAUAAUUUACAUGAAAACAGCAAAGAAUACAACAGACAAAUUCAGUUCAAAUAAAAUUCAAAAGAUCAAUUGAUUGUGUUCUCCAGGGAUCAUUUGUGUAGAUUAAACAGCAUGAUCUGAAUUUCCAGGAGAGAUGCCAUAAUGCAUUUGCUUUAACCGCAAAAUUUAGCUAACCUUUUAGAGGAUCGGAUGAACAGACAAUUGCCAUUACCGUAUUAAGCCAAAGCAGUCACAAGGCAACUCUCCUUUGGCAACUCAUGAUUGAGAUCAAAUAUUGGUAUCCCAUUAAUUACCUGCCAAGCGAGAGCUGCCUUACGACCGCUUUGCUUAUUGAUGUAGCUCAUUUUGCUUCAUACCGCUUCUGGGUUUCGGAGCUUUGUAAGCACUCUGAUUGGUGCUGCACUGUUGAUGGAAUAAACUGUAGAAGAAAUGGCAUAUGCCCGCAGCUUUAGGAUUAUGCUGUGGAUAUCCCCCCAAUGCCAUUUUCCUUUUGUUUGUCAGAAAUAUAAAAUAUUGCAUGUGUGAGAUUCUUCUGCUUCUCAACUUUGU
rnacentral:misc_RNA from 1 species